rnacentral:rRNA from 1 species
AGAGUUUGAUCCUGGCUCAGAUUGAACGCUGGCGGCAGGCCUAACACAUGCAAGUCGAGCGGUAACAGAAAGUAGCUUGCUACUUUGCUGACGAGCGGCGGACGGGUGAGUAAUGCUUGGGAACAUGCCUUGAGGUGGGGGACAACAGUUGGAAACGACUGCUAAUACCGCAUAAUGUCUACGGACCAAAGGGGGCUUCGGCUCUCGCCUUUAGAUUGGCCCAAGUGGGAUUAGCUAGUUGGUGAGGUAAUGGCUCACCAAGGCGACGAUCCCUAGCUGGUUUGAGAGGAUGAUCAGCCACACUGGGACUGAGACACGGCCCAGACUCCUACGGGAGGCAGCAGUGGGGAAUAUUGCACAAUGGGCGCAAGCCUGAUGCAGCCAUGCCGCGUGUGUGAAGAAGGCCUUCGGGUUGUAAAGCUCUUUCGUCGGGGAAGAAAAUGACUGUACCCGAAUAAGAAGGUCCGGCUAACUUCGUGCCAGCAGCCGCGGUAAUACGAAGGGACCUAGCGUAGUUCGGAAUUACUGGGCUUAAAGAGCUCGUAGGUGGUUAGAGAAGUUGGUGGUGAAAUCCCAAGGCUUAACCUUGGAACUGCCAUCAAAACUUUUUAGCUAGAGUAUGAUAGAGGAAAGUGGAAUUUCUAGUGUAGAGGUGAAAUUCGUAGAUAUUAGAAAGAACACCAAUUGCGAAGGCAGCUUUCUGGAUCAUUACUGACACUGAGGAGCGAAAGCAUGGGUAGCGAAGAGGAUUAGAUACCCUCGUAGUCCAUGCCGUAAACGAUGUGUGCUAGACGUUGGAAAUUUAUUUUUCAGUGUCGCAGCAAAAGCGUUAAGCACACCGCCUGGGGAGUACGACCGCAAGGUUAAAACUCAAAUGAAUUGACGGGGACCCGCACAAGUAGUGGAGCAUGUGGUUUAAUUCGAAGAUACGCGCAGAACCUUACCAACACUUGACAUGUUCGUCGCGACUCUAAGAGAUUAGAGUUUUCGGUUCGGCCGGACGAAACACAGGUGCUGCAUGGCUGUCGUCAGCUCGUGUCGUGAGAUGUUGGGUUAAGUCCCGCAACGAGCGCAACCCUUACUUUUAGUUGCUACCAUUUAGUUGGGCACUCUAAAAGAACUGCCAGUGAUAAGCUGGAGGAAGGUGGGGAUGACGUCAAGUCCUCAUGGCCCUUACGUGUUGGGCUACACACGUGCUACAAUGGUACUCACAGAGAGAAGCGAAGAGGCGACUCUAAGCCAAUCCCAAAAAAGUACCUCAGUUCGGAUUGCACUCUGCAACUCGAGUGCAUGAAGCUGGAAUUACUAGUAAUCGCGGAUCAGCGCGCCGCGGUGAAUACGUUCCCGGGUCUUGUACACACCGCCCGUCACACCAUGGAAGUUGGUUACACCUUAAGGCAAAGCAUAAAACCUUUGACUACGGUACGAUCAGCGACUGGGGUGAAGUCGUAACAAGGUAACC